rnacentral:rRNA from 1 species
UACGUAGGGUGCGAGCGUUAAUCGGAAUUACUGGGCGUAAAGCGUGCGCAGGCGGUUCGUUGUGUCGGCGGUGAAAGCCCCGGGCUCAACCUGGGAAUGGCCGUUGAAACUGGCGAACUGGAGUGUGGCAGAGGGGGGUGGAAUUCCUGGUGUAGCAGUGAAAUGCGUAGAUAUCAGGAGGAAUACCGAUGGCGAAGGCAGGUCUCUGGGCUGACACUGACGCUCAUGCACGAAAGCGUGGGGAGCAAACAGG